rnacentral:rRNA from 1 species
CUACGGGAGGCAGCAGUAGGGAAUUUUCGUCAAUGGGGGGAACCCUGAACGAGCAAUGCCGCGUGAGUGAGGAAGGUCUUCGGAUCGUAAAGCUCUGUUGUAAGAGAAAAACGGCACUCAUAGGGAAUGAUGAGUGAGUGAUGGUAUCUUACCAGAAAGUCACGGCUAACUACGUGCCAG